rnacentral:tRNA from 1 species
GGGGCAAUAGCUCAGUUGGGAGAGCGUCAGACUGAAGAUCUGAAGGUCUCGUGUUCGAUCCACGAUUGCCCCA